AAAAGGAAGACGGUAUUUCCGGUAGAGGAAGGAAUAGACCAAAACACUUAAAGGGUGAAGAUGUGCAUCCUAGGCUAUGCCUUCUGAGGAGUGACAUUAGAAAUUACACACUCUGGGGAAAAUGAAUUACAUUAAAACAGUCCAGCUAAAUCACUGAAUGAGGAAGACGGAAAGGGAAAACGAAAUUGUAAGCAGCCACAUAAUCAGGACUUCUGCUAGGGGUUUGCUAGUAUGCCUUUUGCCACCAACAAUGAGACUGCUGUCUCCAACAAUGAGACAUAUACUGCCCCCAGAGGAGACCAACGUCAAAGCCCUGGUUUAAUCAUGGAGAAAAUAUCAGACAACCCAGAUGGCAGAACAUUGCAGAGGAUAGUACCUCUACUGUCAAGGUCAUGAAAACAAAGGCAAAUUGAUACCAGAGACCGAGGAGAGAUGACAACUGAAAACCAAUUACAGCUACAUGAAACACCCUGAAUUGGAUCCUCAAACAGAAAGAGACCA